rnacentral:rRNA from 1 species
CGCGUAGGCGGCCUUGUCGGUCAGAUGUGAAAGCCCAGGGCUCAACCCUGGACGUGCAUUUGAAACAGCAAGACUUGAGUACGGGAGAGGAAAGCGGAAUUCCUGGUGUAGAGGUGAAAUUCGUAGAUAUCAGGAGGAACACCGAUGGCGAAGGCAGCUUUCUGGACCGAUACUGACGCUGAGGCGCGAAGGCGUGGGUAGCGAACAGGAUUAGAUACCCUGGUAGUCC